rnacentral:rRNA from 1 species
UACAGAGAGUGCGAGCGUUAAUCGGAUUUACUGGGCGUAAAGCGUGCGUAGGUGGCCAAUUAAGUCAAAUGUGAAAUCCCUGAGCUUAACUUAGGAAUUGCAUUCGAUACUGGGAAGCUAGAGUAUGGGAGAGGAUGGUAGAAUUCCAGGUGUAGCGGUGAAAUGCGUAGAGAUCUGGAGGAAUACCGAUGGCGAAGGCAGCCAUCUGGCCUAAUACUGACGCUGAGGUACGAAAGCAUGGGGAGCAAACAGG